rnacentral:rRNA from 1 species
UACGUAGGGUGCAAGCGUUGUCCGGAAUUAUUGGGCGUAAAGGAGUCUGUAGGCGGUUUGUCGCGUCUGCUGUGAAAUUUCGGGGCUCAACCCCGAACUUGCAGUGGGUACGGGCAGACUAGAGUGUGGUAGGGGAGACUGGAAUUCCUGGUGUAGCGGUGAAAUGCGCAGAUAUCAGGAGGAACACCGGUGGCGAAGGCGGGUCUCUGGGCCGAUACUGACGCUGAGGAGCGAAAGGCGUGGGGAGCAAACAGG